GAAGGAAAAUAUUCGGGGAGCUCCUACGAUGUGCCGCCCCGUCUACCGAGCAUCGAGAUGGAGAGAGAAGGGGACCGAAGCAGUCCUGUCCUCUUGGAGCUUGGGCUCCGAGGGACAGGCAGGCGGUGUGCUGGUGGAGAAAAAUCGACAGAGGUCCCAUGGUGUGCGCUGGGCGCUGAUCUCCGUGUCGAAGGCUCGCGAACUUCUCUGCUCGCAGGAACCGGCCCAGAGAGAGUGGUGGGGGAGAGGCAGAGGGAGAGAGAAUCCCCAGCAGACUCGCCACUCAGCACGGAACCAGAGCGCCUGGAACACUGAAAUCAAGAGUUGGAUGCUCAACCGACUGAGCCGCCCAGGCGCC